AAUUACAGAGGUGUUAUCACCAUGCUUGAUUCUUUAAAAAGGUUGCUUUUAUUUAUUUCUUAUGUGUAUGAGUGUUUUGCCUGCGUGCACCAUGUGAGUGCCUGGUACGUGGAGAGGACAGAAUAUGGUGUCAGGUUCCUUGGAACUGGCUUUACAGUUGUGAGCCACUGCAUAGGCACUAAGGAUUGAAUACAGGUCCUCUAGAGAGUAGCCAGUCCUCUUACCUGCUGAGCCAUCUCUCCUGCCCCCACCAUGUUUGAUUUUAUACAGUGCUGGGACCAAACCCAAGGCUUCAUGCAUGCUAGGUAAACAUUUUACCAACUAUGCUACAUUUUCAGACUCUGUAUAUUUUUGUUUGUUUGUUUGUUUUGGACAAGGUCUCACUUUGUAGUGUAAGUGGACCUGGAAUUCACUCUAUAGCUCAGGCUGUCCUUGAAUUCACACCAACCUUCCCGUCUUGGGCUCCCAAGUGCUGGGAUUACAGUGUCCUCAGGCCAGAGACAGGCACCUGGUAGUCUUGAAAGUGUAAGCCACAGUAACAGAUUAGUGGAUCCAACAACACACAUUUGUUUUCUCACAGUUUGAAGCUGGAACCAUUAUUAAGGCAUGAGCAGGAUGAGGUUGAAGGUGUCCUUCUUCCUCACGUCUACACGUGGGCUUCCCUCUGUGCAUUGCACUCUUUCCUUUUUCUUAAGGCAUGGUUCCUGGGCUAGAGCUCACCAAUACCCCCUUCACCCCAUAGUCUCCUUAAAGGGUGCAUCCAAAUGCAGACAUGUUAUGAGAUAUUAAGAGUUGGGAUAUUCAGACCAUGAGGCACACAUCUUUAAUCCAAGUACUCAGGAGGCAGAGGCAGGAAGAUCUUUGUGAGUUUGAGACCAGCCUGGUCUACAGAGCAAGUUCCAGGACAGCCAGGGCUACACAGAGAAAUCAUGUCUCAAAAAUCAAAACCAAAAGAAGAAGGAAGAAGAAAGGGAAGAAGAAGGAAGAAGAAGAAGGGGACGGGGAAGAAAGAAGAAGGGGAAGGGAAAGGGAAGAAAGAAGAAGGGGAAGGGGAAGAGGAAGAAGAUGAAGAAGAUGAAGAAG
rnacentral:lncRNA from 1 species